rnacentral:rRNA from 1 species
GAUGAACGCUAGCGGCAGGCUUAACACAUGCAAGUCGAGGGGUAACAGGGAGUGCUUGCACUCUGCUGACGACCGGCGCACGGGUGCGUAACGCGUAUGCAACCUACCUUCUACAGGGGGGGGACAACCCGAGGAAACUUGGGCUAAUACCGCAUAUCGUCCAGAAAUCGCAUGAUUAUUGGAUAAAAGAGGGCCUCUGCUUGCAAGCUCUCACCUGAAGAGGAGGUCGCGACGUAUCAGCUUGUUGGUGAGGUAAUGGCUUACCAAGGCUACGACGCGUAGCGGGUCUGAGAGGACGACCCGCCACAUUGGGACUGAGAUACGGCCCAG